rnacentral:rRNA from 1 species
CGCGUAGGUGGUUUUUAAGUCAGAUGUGAAAUCCCUAGGCUCAACCUAGGAACUGCAUUUGAAACUGAAAAACUAGAGUCUCGUAGAGGGAGGUAGAAUUCUAGGUGUAGCGGUGAAAUGCGUAGAUAUCUGGAGGAAUACCUGUGGCGAAAGCGGCCUCCUAAACGAAUACUGACACUGAGGUGCGAAAGCGUGGGGAGCAAACA